AAACAUUCGUUUCAUUGACGCAUCUAAACCUGCAAGAGAGUUUCCAACAUACAACUUCACUUGCCUCACUAUUCAGAUCGCAGCAACGCAACACACAAUCCAUCAUCCAUCUGCAGCACAUCGACACAACCUUAUCCUUCAAGCAGAUUCAACAGCAACCACGGUGCAUCAACAACAGAAGCACAACCUAAAGAUCCUCCAUCUUUAAUAUCAACUUUCAGCACUGAUUUCCUCCAAUCUUCAACGCAAUCGCAAACACCGACGCGAACUUCACCUCACGGACCACAUCAUCGUCAUCGGCGAAAACAAAAACUGACACACACAACUGCAACGAUUCGAGAACACAGGUGAGCUCAACGCAGCAACGUCAUUGAUCAUCGUUAUCUGAUUCAAUCUACAAUAACGAUUCAGGACGCUUCUCUGACGAUAUUUCACUCAUUUUUAACCAAAACCAAAGCCACCCUAAUUCUCACCCUCAAAACGAGAUUGAGAUUACUAAUCAAGUUUUAUUUUUCUUGCGUGCUUGUAUCACACCCAAGUAAGUUCUCACUGUUCCUCUUAGAUAUUUAACUCCAAAUUUUAUGAUUCUUUUUUCUUGUAAUUUCUCAACAAUUUGUUUAUGCUAAAUGUAAAAUUAAUAGGUAAAUUUGAACUUUCAAAUGUGAGAGAUGGAUGCAUGGAAAGUGUUUGUAAAAAUGUCUGUUUGAACUUUGAAGGACUUCUUCAUAUACAACUUUGAAUGAUAUUGGUCAAAGUUCCUGCAAUGUGUGUAAUAUUUUAAGUUUCCUUAUUAUUGAUUGCAAGUAUGUCUACACAUGUAAUUUCCAUUUCAGGUGUGUACAACAAAUUAACAGAGCCAACCGUGGAGAUUUGAGUCCUAAAGAGUUGAAGGAUAGACAAGUUUGUUAUAUUGUGUGAAAAUAUUUCCCAAUCAGAAAUUACAAUUUAAAUGUGUUCUAAAUAUUUAUAUAAUGUUAUCUUGCAGGCCAAGGCAAUGUCAGAUUCAGAGAUACAGAAUAUUCUUCAAGACCCUGUUAUGCGACUUGUUUGCUCUUUUGUCUUGGAUGCAUAAUGGUUAUAAUGCGUUGUUACAAUAAUAAGUACUUAUAUUAGCUCUGGGUUUGUAUGCAGCCUGCAGGUAUUGGUUGACUUCCAGGAAAACCCCAAGGCGGCACAGGAACAUACCAAGAACCCAGGUGUGAUGGACAAGAUCCAGAAGCUGAUCAGUGCUGGAAUUGCCCAGAUGAGGUAUAAAUUCAAGUUGGAUUGCAGUUUUGGGAAGUGACGGUGUCAUUACUUUCUCAAAUCUCAAUGGUGGUGGAUCAAAUGGUGAUUCUUCAACAAGAAUACCACAAGAUCCUUGUCAAACACCAGAGCCUUGUGAACCUUACAACAUAUGCACAAGUAAUGGUAAGUGUAGCUGCCCUUCUGCUCUUCCUAGUUGUGAACCAGGUUUUGUUUCUCCUUGUGGUGAUGAUAAAUCAGAAAAGUCUAUUGAACUUCUGAAAGCUGAUGAUGGACUUAGUUACUUUGCGCUUGAUUUUCUUCUGCCCUAUUCGAAUACCGAUUUGGCCGGGUGUCAAACAUCUUGCCAAGGAAAUUGCUCUUGUCUUGCAAUGUUCUUCCAUACAAGUUCAGGGAACUGUUUCUUGUUGGACAGUGUUGGAAGUUUUCAGAAUUUCAAUGAUUCCGAGUCUGUUUAUGUUUCUUACAUUAAGAUUGUCUCAAGUGAUGAAAGUGGAAGCAGAAAUAAGCACAUCAUCAUAGGUGUUGUGGUUGCUGUUAUAUUAACUUUGGUUGUAAUUCUGCUCUUUGUCGCGGUUCGAUACUACAAGAAAAAGAAAAAUUUAGCUCGAGAGAAUUCAGAUGAAGACGAUUUCUUGGAGAAUUUAACCGGUAUGCCAAUCCUGGUUGGUUAAACUACCUUAUAACAUGCAUAUACAACCUUUAUAAUCUCCUACUAACAAUAAUUCAAUUACUUUAACAUUCUUCCUUUCUCUCAUGUGUGUCUAUGUGCUCUAAUGUUUUAGCAAUUUAGGAUUUAGUUAUGACCACAUCAUUGCGUUUUUUAUGAUGUGAUUAAACUGUACAUCCAUACCUCCCUAAAUAGUAGAUUGUUAAUGAUGUGAUUUUGAUUGGUCUGGCCAGACAUUUACUAUAACCUGGCCAAGUAUAUUUUUGGUUUUCAAGCUCACUGUUGGAGAUCUUAUAAAGAAAUUUUUUAAGAGGAGAGGGCCAAAAUAACAAUUAAUAUUAUAUGAUAUCAGCAGCAGUUAUUAAAUUUAGGCAGUUAUGUGUAAUGGCUGUAGGAUAAGAGCGGAGACUGAAUUGUAUUCUGGUUAUCCGAAAUUGGCGUGAGUUUGGGGCAUGUCUAUUGCUUUCAAUUUAAUUGUCACAUGUCUCCUAUUUCUAGAAAUGAACUUAGUAGGACCUAAUUGCUUGACUACGGACCAAAAGAAGAAACUGUUGCGGGGCAGCAAGAAGAGUACACCCACCGAAGAGGUAUCUAUGAUAAUUUUUUACAUCUUCCCCUUUAUUGUCACUGAACUCUUUUAUAUAACAUUAGGUGUGCUUCAUGCUCAAUGGGUUAUUGAGUCAGGUUAUAUAGUGUCACUUUUCUCCUAGUUUAUAUUGGAUUCUUCGAUAACAGGUGUAUUGUAGUUGUAGCAUUGUAAUAAUUUCUAGUUGUUUGUGUAUCUCUGUUAUAUGAGUCACACAUGACUAAAGAUGAGAUGAAAAGAACUUGGGAGCAAAACUUACAUACAUGUGACAGAAUACAUACAUCAUGUAAUGAAGAUCUAAAAAGUUGGGUGUAGGAGCUUUUGCACCUGCUAUGGAGGUGUUAAGCAAAUCUGGGAUGGGCGAAGCACUAUGUUCAUAUAUUGAAAAGGAUCGUCCAUUUUUAGGCAUUUGCCUUGGUCUUCAAUUGCUUUUUGAAUCUAGCGAGGAGAAUGGACCAAAUCCCCUGAUGCCAAAGAUGGUGAGGUUCCGGUGGCUUUAGUUGUUCGCGCUCCCAAUAGCUCGAUAACCAAAGAGGACAUUCUGAAGUUUGUAGCAAAACAGGUGCACCAUACAAAAGGUUGCAACCAGUGACUUUUAUAGAUAAGAUUCCAAAGUCACCCACUGGAAAGAUCUUAAGAAAGGAUCUUGUCAUUUUGGGUCAAUAGAUGAGAUCAAAGUUAUAGUAUUUUAAUGCUUUGGAAGGCUCUGAUCUGCCAUAUAUUAUGGAGAUGAAUGAAAAAAUGUCAAGGUUCUGGUCUCUGCAGUGAGGAUCAUUGCAUAGUGCAGUCUAAGAAAUUUCCAUUUCUGUUUGUAUCUUAAAAGCGAGUUUGGACGUAUAUUGAAAUGCCAAUGGUACCGUUAUUCAUCACAAUAUGGUCCAAAAUAUAUACAAAACUCUCUGUCCUUUUUCUAACUAAAGCCUUUUGAUUCUAUUGAUUUAUUUUCCAGCACUAUGUAUUAACAUGAUUUCUAAUAUCUUGUAUAGAAACACUUCCUGAAUUCAAUGCAAAUCUAAAGCCUUUAAUCUACAACUGCAAGAUUUUUGUACUAAAUUGCAGGGCCAGUAUCUAGAUGUAAAUGUUAUAUAUGUUGAUACCUUUACCAUAAAAUAUGACCUCAUUGUAAACUCCUCAAAAUAUGGAUUUGAACAAUUAUGACUUGCUGUGGAUAUGGAGGCCACCAUUGAACUGCGACAAUCACGUUUCUUCUGGACUAACAAAGAUGGAACCACAUUUACAGGAAAAGGUUGCAAUGAUAGCAGUGUUUACUUGAACUAACAAAGAUUAUUGGGUUGGUUUUGUAUAUAGAAUUGUUGAUUCGGUUCUUGCAUCAUUUUUCAAGAAUAUCACUUCAUUUUGUUAUGUCUGUUACACUCUUGAAGAAUAAUAAGGAUUGACUCUAAUUUUGUAUAUGACAUUGGUUGUGGUUGUUGGAGGAAUGCAAUCAACAUACAUUUGAGAUAGAAUUUGAUAUAUUUAUCACUUGUGUCUUGCUUG